rnacentral:rRNA from 1 species
CCUACGGGCGGCAGCAGUGGGGAAUAUUGCACAAUGGGGGAAACCCUGAUGCAGCGACGCCGCGUGAGUGAUGAAGUAUUUCGGUAUGUAAAGCUCUAUCAGCAGGGAAGAAAAUGACGGUACCUGACUAAGAAGCCCCGGCUAACUACGUGCCAGCAGCCGCGGUAAUACGUAGGGGGCAAGCGUUAUCCGGAUUUACUGGGUGUAAAGGGAGCGUAGACGGCAGCGCAAGUCUGGAGUGAAAUCCCAGGGCUUAACCAUGGAACUGCUUUGGAAACUGUGCAGCUAGAGUGCAGGAGAGGUAAGCGGAAUUCCUAGUGUAGCGGUGAAAUGCGUAGAUAUUAGGAGGAACACCAGUGGCGAAGGCGGCUUACUGGACUGUAACUGACGUUGAGGCUCGAAAGCGUGGGGAGCAAACAGGAUUAGAUACCCUUGUAGUC